UUCAUUCAAAACCCGAGAAUUUCCUCUGUUUAAGCGUACAUACUUUUCUCUCUCAUACUUUCUCUCCUCCUGCUCAGCCGUCGCCGAUCAACGCCAUCGCCACCAUCAGUCUGGUCGGCCCUCCUUGCUCCUGACCGUCACCACCAACAAUCUCACGCAAUUUUCUCUAUCAUAUCCUCCAAUCUUUUGCCUCAAUUUUCUCUCUCCUAUGAUCUGCGUUUCAAUUAUUUCGUAAUUAUUCUGGGGUCUUUGUUUUUCUGGAAGAUUGGGUUGUUGGUUGGAGAUAUUGGUUUUGGUUCAUUCCUUGAUUUUCCAUUUAUCUUAAUUUGAAGUAGAAUUGUUGGAGAAAAUGGAAGAGCAAAGAAGAUGGAAGAUUGAUGAUGAUGGCGUGAGAAACAAUGAGGAAGCUGGCUUUCCUCAUUAGGAAGAUAAAAGAGAAUGCAGCUUUCCAAUGUAAGUUGGGCUUCUUGAACUCCCUCAUCAACGGGCAUGCGAUUGAUGUUCAUAAAUUCCUGUUUUCGAGUUUGCAAGUGAAGAGUGAAUGUUCUAAUGGAAUCAAAAGGUGGUAAAGACGGUUCCAGUAGUAGUAGUAAAUCAUUGCAAUACGUCAGCACCACUUGCUUACACCAUUGAAUACGUUCGACCAAAGAGAGGAGUCAAGAAAUUCAGAUCUACUUCUUACUCAAACAUAAGCUAAAAGUAAAAUGAGUUGCGUUCUAAGAAGUGAAGUCACAUCCAGUUAUGGAGACCAUCUAGCAUUCAAUACUACGGUCCAAGAAGUGAAGCCACAAAUUUUGUGGCAUACUAUUUGUAAGAUAUGAUAACUCUGUAUCUUUGCAUUCAUAGAUUAGGAGUAUAAAUAUACAAUGUACAAUUAAGGCAAUAUUCUGCCAUGAUAAUCAGCAAUCAUGUUGCUAAUUUACAGCAAUAGUAUCGCUAAUUAUGCGCCAAUUAUGGCUGAUUAUUUUUGAUUGAUAUCCUAUACAUAGAUAUCAUAUAUACAUAA